rnacentral:rRNA from 1 species
UGGGGAAUAUUGGACAAUGGGCGAAAGCCUGAUCCAGCCAUGCCGCGUGUGUGAAGAAGGUCUUCGGAUUGUAAAGCACUUUAAGUUGGGAGGAAGGGCAGUAAGCGAAUACCUUGCUGUUUUGACGUUACCGACAGAAUAAGCACCGGCUAACUCUGUGCCAGCAGCCGCGGUAAUACAGAGGGUGCAAGCGUUAAUCGGAAUUACUGGGCGUAAAGCGCGCGUAGGUGGUUCGUUAAGUUGAAUGUGAAAGCCCCGGGCUCAACCUUGGAACUGCAUCCAAAACUGGCGAGCUAGAGUAGGGCAGGGGGUGGUGGAAUUUCCUGUGUAGCGGUGAAAUGCGUAGAUAUAGGAAGGAACACCAGUGGCGAAGGCGACCACCUGGGCUCAUACUGACCCUGAGGUGCGAAAGCGUGGGGAGCAAACAAG